CCCUGUGGUUUCGUUUUUAUCUUUUCGGUAGCUUUUUCGUUAAUAUUUCGUUAAAUUAUAUACAAAAAACUUCAGAUAUCCAUCUAGAUUUAUCAAAUAUUCACUUUAGUAUCCUUUAAUUUUAACUUUAUUACUGAUUUAAGAAAAAAAAAUAAUAAAAUUGAUAAGAAAAAGAGAAAAAUAAAAUCACAGGGGGGCAAAUUGAUAUAUUUUAAACCACAGAGGGGGUAAAGUGAGAAACUACGAAACCACAUGGGAGGUUUUUAAAGUUUUUCCUAAAAAAUUAAAGUAAUAU
rnacentral:lncRNA from 1 species